rnacentral:rRNA from 1 species
ACGAACGCUGGCGGCGUGCCUAACACAUGCAAGUCGAACGUGAAAGUCCUUCGGGAUGAGUAAAGUGGCGCACGGGUGAGUAAUGGAUAGGAACGUACCGAGUAGUGGGGAAUAACAUCGGGAAACCGAGGCUAAUACCGCAUGAGAUCGAAAGAUGAAAGGGGGCCUCUGCUUGCAAGCUCUCGCUACUUGAGCGGCCUAUCUCCCAUUAGCUAGUUGGUAGGGUAAAGGCCUACCAAGGCGACGAUGGGUAGCUGGUCUUAGAGGACGAUCAGCCACACUGGAACUGAGACACGGUCCAGACUCCUACGGGAGGCAGCAGUGGGGAAUAUUGCACAAUGGGGGAAACCCUGAUGCAGCAACGCCGCGUGAGUGAAGAAGGCCCUUGGGUCGUAAAGCUCUUUCGGCUGGGAAGAAGGGUGUGGUGGCUAAUAUCCACGAGAUCUGACGGUACCAGAAGAAGAAGCACUGGCUAAUUCCGU